UCGGUGGCUGAGGAAAGCAGGAGGUGGUGGUGGCGGCGGGAAGACGCUGCUCUUUGGCGUAAAUUGCAAUCGAUUAGGGAUCGUUUCUCAGAAUCAAGUUAGAAGUGAGAGUUCAGAUAAGUGAGGCCGCCAUUGCUGCUUUGAACGCCUCAGAAGGGGAGAAUGGAUUUAUCAGGAGUGAAAAAGAAGAGCUUGCUAGGAGUCAAAGAAAAUAAAAAGUCCAGCACUAGGGCUCCUUCACCUACCAAACGCAAAGACCGUUCAGAUGAGAGGUCCGAGGAUCGCUCAAAAGAUAAAGGGGCCACCAAGGAGUCGAGUGAGAAGGAUCGCGGCCGGGACAAAACCCGGAAGAGGCGCAGCGCUUCCGGUGGCAGCAGCAGUACCAGAUCUCGGUCCAGCUCCGCUUCCAGUUCAGGCUCCUGCACCAGCACUGGCUCAAGCAGUGGCUCCAGCUCUUCCUCAGCAUCCAGCCGCUCAGGAAGCUCCAGCACCUCCCGCAGCUCCAGCUCCAGCAGCUCUUCCGGCUCUCCAAGUCCUUCUCGGCGCAGACAAGACAACCGGAGGCGCUCCCGCUCCAAAACCAAACCACCUGAAAGAGAUGAAAAGGAGAGGAAAAGGCGGAGCCCAUCUCCUAAGCCCACCAAAGUGCAUAUUGGGAGACUCACCAGGAAUGUGACAAAGGAUCACAUCAUGGAGAUAUUUUCCACCUAUGGGAAAAUUAAAAUGAUUGACAUGCCCGUGGAAAGGAUGCAUCCCCAUCUGUCCAAAGGCUAUGCAUACGUAGAGUUUGAGAAUCCAGAUGAAGCUGACAAGGCGCUGAAGCACAUGGAUGGAGGACAAAUCGAUGGUCAGGAGAUCACUGCCACUGCCGUGCUGGCCCCCUGGCCUAGGCCACCCCUCAGGAGAUUCAGCCCUCCCAGGAGAAUGUUGCCACCACCGCCCACGUGGCGCAGGUCUCCCCCACGGAUGAGGAGAAAGUCCCGCUCCCCGAGGCGCAGGUCCCGCGUGCGCCGGAGAUGAUGCUCCCCGGGCCGCCGCCGCCACAGGAGCCGCUCCAGUUCCAACUCCUCCGGAUAAACAGGCCACUGAAGCUCUCGCCCCUGUAACUUAUACGCCACCCAGCUCAGUUUUAUCACUUUUCUAGCCAAAGGAAGAUCAGUA